rnacentral:rRNA from 1 species
AUGAAGGCGCGGCUCGGCGACUUCGGGCUGGCCAAGCUGUACGACCGAGGCACCGACCCGCAGACUACCAGCGUGGUGGGCACCAUGGGUUACCUCGCGCCGGAGCUGGCGUGCACGCGGCGGGUCACGCCGGCCACGGACGUGUUUGCGUUCGGAGCGUUCGUGCUGGAGGUGGCCUGCGGCCGGCGACCCAUCGAGCACGGCGCGGCCGACGAGAACCGGCUGGUGCUCGCGGACUGGGUGCUCGAGCGCUGGCACAACGGGGACGUCACGGACACGGCGGACCCGCGGCUCUGCGGCGCCUACGAUGUCGAGGAGGCCGCGGUGGUGCUCAGGCUGGGCCUGGUGUGCUCCCACCCGGCGCCCGCCGCGAGGCCGUCGAUGCGGCAGGUGGUGCAGUACCUUGACGGCGACGUGCCGAUGCCCGAGCCGGCGCCGACGUAUCGGAGCUUCACCGCGGUGGCCUUGAUGCAGAACGCCGAGGGCAACGACUCCUACGUUGCCUCAUACCCGUUGUCUUCGGCGACUAACGUCGGCGCAUCCUCUCUUCUCUCCGGGAGGUGA